UGCGUAGGCGGCUUUCUAAGUUGGAUGUGAAAACUCUGGGCUCAACCCAGAGCCUGCAUCCAAAACUGGAGAGCUAGGGUUCUGGAGGGGAAAGCGGAAUUCCUGGUGUAGCGGUGAAAUGCGUAGAUAUCAGGAGGAACACCGGUGGCGAGGGCGGCUUUCUGGACAGAUACCGACGCUGAGGCACGAAAGCUGGGAGCAAACA
rnacentral:rRNA from 1 species